rnacentral:rRNA from 1 species
GAUGAACGCUGGCGGCGUGCCUAAUACAUGCAAGUCGAACGCACAGCGAAAGGUGCUUGCACCUUUCAAGUGAGUGGCGAACGGGUGAGUAACACGUGGACAACCUGCCUCAAGGCUGGGGAUAACAUUUGGAAACAGAUGCUAAUACCGAAUAAAACUUAGUGUCGCAUGACACAAAGUUAAAAGGCGCUUCGGCGUCACCUAGAGAUGGAUCCGCGGUGCAUUAGUUAGUUGGUGGGGUAAAGGCCUACCAAGACAAUGAUGCAUAGCCGAGUUGAGAGACUGAUCGGCCACAUUGGGACUGAGACACGGCCCAAACUCCUACGGGAGGCUGCAGUAGGGAAUCUUCCACAAUGGGCGAAAGCCUGAUGGAGCAACGCCGCGUGUGUGAUGAAGGCUUUCGGGUCGUAAAGCACUGUUGUAUGGGAAGAACAGCUAGAAUAGGAAAUGAUUUUAGUUUGACGGUACCAUACCAGAAAGGGACGGCUAAAUACGUGCCAGCAGCCGCGGUAAUACGUAUGUCCCGAGCGUUAUCCGGAUUUAUUGGGCGUAAAGCGAGCGCAGACGGUUUAUUAAGUCUGAUGUGAAAGCCCGGAGCUCAACUCCGGAAUGGCAUUGGAAACUGGUUAACUUGAGUGCAGUAGAGGUAAGUGGAACUCCAUGUGUAGCGGUGGAAUGCGUAGAUAUAUGGAAGAACACCAGUGGCGAAGGCGGCUUACUGGACUGCAACUGACGUUGAGGCUCGAAAGUGUGGGUAGCAAACAGGAUUAGAUACCCUGGUAGUCCACACCGUAAACGAUGAACACUAGGUGUUAGGAGGUUUCCGCCUCUUAGUGCCGUAGCUAACGCAUUAAGUGUUCCGCCUGGGGAGUACGACCGCAAGGUUGAAACUCAAAGGAAUUGACGGGGACCCGCACAAGCGGUGGAGCAUGUGGUUUAAUUCGAAGCAACGCGAAGAACCUUACCAGGUCUUGACAUCCUUUGAAGCUUUUAGAGAUAGAAGUGUUCUCUUCGGAGACAAAGUGACAGGUGGUGCAUGGUCGUCGUCAGCUCGUGUCGUGAGAUGUUGGGUUAAGUCCCGCAACGAGCGCAACCCUUAUUGUUAGUUGCCAGCAUUCAGAUGGGCACUCUAGCGAGACUGCCGGUGACAAACCGGAGGAAGGCGGGGACGACGUCAGAUCAUCAUGCCCCUUAUGACCUGGGCUACACACGUGCUACAAUGGCGUAUACAACGAGUUGCCAACCCGCGAGGGUGAGCUAAUCUCUUAAAGUACGUCUCAGUUCGGAUUGUAGUCUGCAACUCGACUACAUGAAGUCGGAAUCGCUAGUAAUCGCGGAUCAGCACGCCGCGGUGAAUACGUUCCCGGGUCUUGUACACACCGCCCGUCACACCAUGGGAGUUUGUAAUGCCCAAAGCCAGUGGCCUAACCUUUUAGGAAGGAGCCGUCUAAGGCAGGACAGAUGACUGGGGUG